rnacentral:rRNA from 1 species
GACGUUGCCUGAAAAGUUUUGCAUGGAAUAAUGGAAAAGGACUUCGGUUCUAUUUCGUUGGUUUUCGGAUCCGAAGUAAUGAUCAAGAGAGACAGGCGGGGACGUUUGUAUGGUUGCGAUAGAGGUGAAAUUCGUGGACCGUAGCCAGACAAACUAAAGCGAAAGCAUUCGUCAAGCAUGUUUUCAUUGGCCAUGAGCGAAAGUCAGAGGCUCGAUGACGAUCAGAUACCGUCCUAGUUCUGACCAUAAACGAUGCCAACUGACGAUCCGUGGUGGUAGCUCUUUCACCUUCCCCACGGGCAGUCCCCGGGAAACCUUUAAGUCUUUGGGUUCCGGGGGAAGUAUGGUUGCAAAGCUGAAACUUAAAGGAAUUGACGGAAGGGCACCACCAGGAGUGGAGGCUGCGGCUCAAUUUGACUCAACACGGGAAAACUUACCCGGGCCGGACACUAU